rnacentral:rRNA from 1 species
UGAGUAACACGUAUCCAACCUGCCGUCUACUCUUGGCCAGCCUUCUGAAAGGAAGAUUAAUCCAGGAUGGCAUCAUGAGUUCACAUGUCCGCAUGAUUAAAGGUAUUUUCCGGUAGACGAUGGGGAUGCGUUCCAUUAGAUAGUAGGCGGGGUUACGGCCCACCAAGGCAACGAUGGAUAGGGGUUCUGAGAGGAAGGUCCCCCACACUGGUACUGAGACACGGACCAG